rnacentral:rRNA from 1 species
AUUGAACGCUGGCGGCAUGCCUUACACAUGCAAGUCGAACGGCAGCACGGGAGCAAUCCUGGUGGCGAGUGGCGAACGGGUGAGUAAAGUAUCGGAACGUGCCCAGUCGUGGGGGAUAACGUAGCGAAAGUUACGCUAAUACCGCAUACGAUCUACGGAUGAAAGCGGGGGAUCGCAAGACCUCGCGCGAUUGGAGCGGCUGAUAUCAGAUUAGGUAGUUGGUGGGGUAAAGGCUCACCAAGCCGACGAACUGUAGCUGGUCUGAGAGGACGACCAGCCACACUGGGACUGAGACACGGCCCAGACUCCUACGGGAGGCAGCAGUGGGGAAUUUUGGACAAUGGGCGCAAGCCUGAUCCAGCCAUGCCGCGUGCAGGAUGAAGGCCUUCGGGUUGUAAACUGCUUUUGUACGGAACGAAAAGGUUUGGCCUAAUAAGCUGGACCCAUGACGGUACCGUAAGAAUAAGCACCGGCUAACUACGUGCCAGCCGCCGCAGUAA